AGCAGGGGCAACUCUGUGAGUACAGUGGCGUACGGGUGAGUAACACGUGACUACCUACCUUUGAGUGGGGGAUAACCCCGGGAAACCGGGGCUAAUACCGCAUAACAUCGCAAGAUCAAAGGAGCAAUCCGCUUAAAGAGGGGGUCGCGGCUGAUUAGCUAGUUGGUGAGGUAACGGCUCACCAAGGCGAUGAUCGGUAGCCGGCCUGAGAGGGCGCACGGCCACACUGGAACUGAAACACGGUCCAGACUCCUACGGGAGGCAGCAGUGGGGAAUUUUGCGCAAUGGGGGAAACCCUGACGCAGCAACGCCGCGUGGAGGAUGAAGUCCCUUGGGACGUAAACUCCUUUCGACCCGGACGAUAAUGACGGUACGGGUGGAAGAAGCACCGGCUAACUUCGUGCCAGCAGCCGCGGUAAUACGAGGGGUGCAAGCGUUGUUCGGAAUUAUUGGGCGUAAAGGGCGCGUAGGCGGCGCGGUAAGUCACCUGUGAAAUCUCCCGGCUCAACUGGGAGCCUGCAGGCGAAACUGCCGUGCUGGAGUAUGGGAG
rnacentral:rRNA from 1 species